AUUGAACGCUGGCGGCAUGCCUUACACAUGCAAGUCGAGCGGCAGCGCGGGGGCAACCCUGGCGGCGAGCGGCGAACGGGUGAGUAAUGCAUCGGAACGUGUCCUUUUGUGGGGGAUAACCAGUCGAAAGACUGGCUAAUACCGCAUGAGCUCGAGAGAGGAAAGCAGGGGACCCGAGGGUAACUUCGGGCCUUGCGCGAGAGGAGCGGCCGAUGCCCGAUUAGCUAGUUGGUGGAGGUAAC
rnacentral:rRNA from 1 species